ACAGGAAGAAGCUUGCUUCUUUGCUGACGAGUGGCGGACGGGUGAGUAAUGUCUGGGAAACUGCCUGAUGGAGGGGGAUAACUACUGGAAACGGUAGCUAAUACCGCAUAACGUCGCAAGACCAAAGAGGGGGACCUUCGGGCCUCUUGCCAUCGGAUGUGCCCAGAUGGGAUUAGCUAGUAGGUGGGGUAACGGCUCACCUAGGCGACGAUCCCUAGCUGGUCUGAGAGGAUGACCAGCCACACUGGAACUGAGACACGGUCCAGACUCCUACGGGAGGCAGCAGUGGGGAAUAUUGCACAAUGGGCGCAAGCCUGAUGCAGCCAUGCCGCGUGUAUGAAGAAGGCCUUCGGGUUGUAAAGUACUUUCAGCGGGGAGGAAGGGAGUAAAGUUAAUACCUUUGCUCAUUGACGUUACCCGCAGAAGAAGCACCGGCUAACUCCGUGCCAGCAGCCGCGGUAAUACGGAGGGUGCAAGCGUUAAUCGGAAUUACUGGGCGUAAAGCGCACGCAGGCGGUUUGUUAAGUCAGAUGUGAAAUCCCCGGGCUCAACAUGGGAACUGCAUCUGAUACUGGCAAGCUUGAGUCUCGUAGAGGGGGGUAGAAUUCCAGGUGUAGCGGUGAAAUGCGUAGAGAUCUGGAGGAAUACCGGUGGCGAAGGCGGCCCCCUGGACGAAGACUGACGCUCAGGUGCGAAAGCGUGGGGAGCAAA
rnacentral:rRNA from 1 species